rnacentral:misc_RNA from 1 species
AGUCUCUCCCAAGCUUUC